AACGAACGCUGGCGGCAUACCUAACACAUGCAAGUCGAACGAGAUCUUCGGGUCUAGUGGCGCACGGGUGCGUAACGCGUGGGAAUCUGCCCUUUGGUUCGGAAUAACAGUUGGAAACGACUGCUAAUACCGGACGAUGACGAAAGUCCAAAGAUUUAUUGCCAGAGGAUGAGCCCGCGUAGGAUUAGCUAGUUGGUGUGGUGAAGGCGCACCAAGGCGACGAUCCUUAGCUGGUCUGAGAGGAUGAUCAGCCACACUGGGACGGAGACACGGCCCAGACUCCUACUGAGGGCAGCAGUGGGGAAUAUUGGACAAUGGGCGAAAGCCUGAGCCAGCAAUGCCGCGUGAGUGAUGAAGGCCUUAGAGUUGUAAAACUCUUUUACCCGCGAUGAUAAUGACAGUACCGGGAGAAUAAGCUCCGGCUAACUCCGUGCCAGCCGCCGCCGUAA
rnacentral:rRNA from 1 species